UGUCUCAAAGAUUAAGCCAUGCAUGUCUCAGUACAAGCCAAAUUAAGGUGAAACCGCGAAAGGCUCAUUAAAUCAGUUAUGGUUCCUUAGAUCGUACCCACAAUUACUUGGAUAACUGUGGUAAUUCUAGAGCUAAUACACGCAAACAGAGCUCCGACCGGAGACGGAAGGAGUGCUUUUAUUAGAUCAAAACCAAUCGGUGGCGGGUUCGCUCGUUAUCGUACAACUUGGUGACUCUGAAUAACUUUACGCUGAUCGCACGGUCAUCGCACCGGCGACGCAUCUUUCAAAUGUCUGCCUUAUCAACUGUCGAUGGUAGGUUCUGCGCCUACCAUGGUUGUAACGGGUAACGGGGAAUCAGGGUUCGAUUCCGGAGAGGGAGCCUGAGAAACGGCUACCACAUCCAAGGAAGGCAGCAGGCGCGCAAAUUACCCACUCCCGGCACGGGGAGGUAGUGACGAAAAAUAACGAUACGGGACUCAUCCGAGGCCCCGUAAUCGGAAUGAGUACACUCUAAACCCUUUAACGAGGAUCAAUUGGAGGGCAAGUCUGGUGCCAGCAGCCGCGG
rnacentral:rRNA from 1 species